UAGAGCGGCGGACGGGUGAGUAACACGUGGACAAUCUCGCCCCCCGGGACCGGGAUACGCCCGAGGGAAACCUGGAUUAAUACCGGAUGAGACGGGACCUGCGAUGGCGGGAUCCGGGAAAGGCGCUACGGCGCCGCCGGGGGAUGAGUCUGCGUCCCAUUAGCUAGACGGCGGGGUAACGGCCCACCGUGGCGACGAUGGGUAGCCGGCCUGAGAGGGUGGACGGCCACAUUGGAACUGAGACACGGUCCAGACUCCUACGGGAGGCAGCAGCUAAGAAUCUUCCGCAAUGGGCGAAAGCCUGACGGAGCGACGCCCGCGUGAACGAAGAAGGCCGUGAGGUUGUAAAGUUCUUUUCGGGAGGGGGAACAACCGUGGCAGGGAAUGGCCGCGGGAUGACGUGAAUCCCGGAAUAAGCCCCGGCUAACUACGUGCCAGCCGCUGC
rnacentral:rRNA from 1 species